CGGCAGCAGCGCCUGCGACCCGCCACCCAUCGCUGGAUGUUCCUCCACUUUACCCACCGUAUCAAACAACUUUUACCAGUAAAUAUCGGUUUAUUCCUGAAACCAGAAGCCCUAAACAUACCUUUGUUUAUAAGUUUUCCUGCUCUGCGUCUUUGGGAACUGGAGCCCGCAGGACCUAGAGCCUUCUGUUGCCUGGGUGGUUCUGAUUGCUGGCAGUUCUGUAAUACAACUUUAAUCUGAGCAAUUGAGGCUGGUCCUACAUUAUCUUCAGACGUCUUGCGGAGGACUCCUGUUACCAGUUUGGUACUCAAAAGCUACACCCCACCAUCAGAAGUCACUUAUUUUUCUCUUUUUCAAAGGCAGUGAUAGAUUACCCUCUCUAGCUCUAAUGGAAAAAUUAUAAUUGCAAUGCAACUUUCUAAUAAAUUGUUCAUAUAUUCAUAAUUCCGUUGCAAUCCCAAAUUGGAGAAGAGAUCUGUUAAAGGUAUAUAUUAGUCUAGAUUUUUUCUUAUUGUAAAUACUGUAAUUUUAUAAUAUUGUCAAUAUUUUAUUAACUUAGAAAUAUUUAACAGAGUUUAAUCUAUGGUAGUUGAUUUAUUUAUAGGUUUAUGUUGCAGCCAAUAUUGCAUUACAUUCUAAUGUAAGAUUAACUUUCAGCAUGUAAACAUUGAUUUAAUAUGUCAUUGGAAAGAUUAAGAGAGAAGACUCUCACUCUUAAUCUGUAAUAUUUAUCCCCCAAUUCCCAGUUUGGAAUUAUUUAACAAAAUAUUAAGAGGUUUCAAGAGCUCAUGAAUCUAACAAAUGCAGUUGGGUUUGAAAACUUGAAUUUUGCAAUGUACCUGGCUCUUUCACCCUGUGAAUGAGUUUGCUUCAAUAUCUAAUCUAUGUAUAGUAUGGAAGUCUUUAUUUUGAGCAAAGGGACACUGUCAGUUCAAUUUUAGAUUCUUGUU